rnacentral:rRNA from 1 species
CAUGGCUCAGAUUGAACGCUGGCGGCAUGCCUUACACAUGCAAGUCGAACGGCAGCAUGAUCUAGCUUGCUAGAUUGAUGGCGAGUGGCGAACGGGUGAGUAAUACAUCGGAACGUGCCCUGUAGUGGGGGAUAACUAGUCGAAAGAUUAGCUAAUACCGCAUACGACCUGAGGGUGAAAGUGGGGGACCGCAAGGCCUCAUGCUAUAGGAGCGGCCGAUGUCUGAUUAGCUAGUUGGUGAGGUAAAGGCUCACCAAGGCGACGAUCAGUAGCUGGUCUGAGAGGACGAUCAGCCACACUGGGACUGAGACACGGCCCAGACUCCUACGGGAGGCAGCAGUGGGGAAUUUUGGACAAUGGGGGCAACCCUGAUCCAGCAAUGCCGCGUGUGUGAAGAAGGCCUUCGGGUUGUAAAGCACUUUUGUCCGGAAAGAAAUCGCACUUACUAAUAUUAGGUGUGGAUGACGGUACCGGAAGAAUAAGGACCGGCUAACUACGUGCCAGCAGCCGCGGUAAUACGUAGGGUCCAAGCGUUAAUCGGAAUUACUGGGCGUAAAGCGUGCGCAGGCGGUUGUGCAAGACCGAUGUGAAAUCCCCGGGCUUAACCUGGGAAUUGCAUUGGUGACUGCACGGCUAGAGUGUGUCAGAGGGGGGUAGAAUUCCACGUGUAGCAGUGAAAUGCGUAGAGAUGUGGAGGAUACCGAUGNCGAANGCAGCCCCCUGGGAUACACUGACGCUCAUGCACGAAAGCGUGGGAGCAAACAGGAUUAGAUACCCUGGUAGUCCACGCCCUAAACGAUGUCAACUAGUUGUUGGGGAUUCAUUUCCUUAGUAACGUAGCUAACGCGUGAAGUUGACCGCCUGGGGAGUACGGUCGCAAGAUUAAAACUCAAAGGAAUUGACGGGGACCCGCACAAGCGGUGGAUGAUGUGGAUUAAUUCGAUGCAACGCGAAAAACCUUACCUACCCUUGACAUGCCACUAACGAAGCAGAGAUGCAUUAGGUGCUCGAAAGAGAAAGUGGACACAGGUGCUGCAUGGCUGUCGUCAGCUCGUGUCGUGAGAUGUUGGGUUAAGUCCCGCAACGAGCGCAACCCUUGUCUCUAGUUGCUACGAAAGGGCACUCUAGAGAGACUGCCGGUGACAAACCGGAGGAAGGUGGGGAUGACGUCAAGUCCUCAUGGCCCUUAUGGGUAGGGCUUCACACGUCAUACAAUGGUGCAUACAGAGGGUUGCCAAGCCACGAGGUGGAGCUAAUCCCAGAAAAUGCAUCGUAGUCCGGAUCGUAGUCUGCAACUCGACUACGUGAAGCUGGAAUCGCUAGUAAUCGCGGAUCAGCAUGCCGCGGUGAAUACGUUCCCGGGUCUUGUACACACCGCCCGUCACACCAUGGGAGUGGGUUUUGCCAGAAGUAGUUAGCCUGACCGCAAGGGGGGCGAUUACC